UACGGAGGGUGCAAGCGUUAAUCGGAAUUACUGGGCGUAAAGCGUGCGUAGGUGGUUUGUUAAGUCCGUUGUGAAAGCCCCGAGCUCAACUUGGGAAUUGCAGUGGAUACUGGCAAGCUGGAGUGCGGUAGAGGAAGGUGGAAUUCCCGGUGUAGCGGUGAAAUGCGUAGAGAUCGGGAGGAACACCAGUGGCGAAGGCGGCCUUCUGGACCAGCACUGACACUCAAGCACGAAAGCGUGGGUAGCGAACAGG
rnacentral:rRNA from 1 species